ensembl:snoRNA SNORD114-17 small nucleolar RNA, C/D box 114-17
UGGACCAAUGGUAACAACUGGUGGCGUUUGAGUCACGGACGAUGAAUAAUUCGUGUCUGAAACUCUGAGGUCCAA